GCUUAACGCGAAGAACCUUACCCACCUUUGACAUGUACGGAGUCCUUUAGAGAUAGAGGAGUGCUCGAAAGAGAGCCGUAACACAGGUGCUGCAUGGCUGUCGUCAGCUCGUGUCGUGAGAUGUUGGGUUAAGUCCCGCAACGAGCGCAACCCUUGCCAUUAGUUGCUACGAAAGGGCACUCUAAUGGGACUGCCGGUGACAAACCGGAGGAAGGUGGGGAUGACGUCAAGUCCUCAUGGCCCUUAUAGGUGGGGCUACACACGUCAUACAAUGGCUGGUACAGAGGGUUGCCAACCCGCGAGGGGGAGCUAAUCCCAUAAAGCCAGUCGUAGUCCGGAUCGCAGUCUGCAACUCGACUGCGUGAAGUCGGAAUCGCUAGUAAUCGCGGAUCAGAAUGUCGCGGUGAAUACGUUCCCGGGUCUUGUACACACCG
rnacentral:rRNA from 1 species